GGCCUACCAUGGUGGUAACGGGUAACGGGGUGUUAGGGCACGACACCGGAGAGGGAGCCUGAGAAACGGCUACCACAUCCAAGGAUGGCAGCAGGCGCGCAAAUUACCCAAUCCCGACACGGGGAGGUAGUGACAAUAAAUAACAAUACGGGGUUCUUUCGGAUCUCGUAAUUGGAAUGAGUACAAUUUAAAUCUCUUAACGAGGAACAAUUGGAGGGCAAGUCUGGUGCCAGCAGCCGCGGUAAUUCCAGCUCCAAUAGCGUAUAUUAAAGUUGUUGCAGUUAAAAAGCUCGUAGUUGAAUUUCGGGGUCAGCAGGUCGGUCGUGCCACUGGUAUGAACUGGCCUCGCUGAUCCCUCCCUCUUGACGAACUGUGAUGCCAUUAAUUUGGUGUCGCAGGGAAUCAGGACUGUUACUUUGAAAAAAUUAGAGUGUUUAAAGCAGGCUCACGCUUGAAUACAUUAGCAUGGAAUAAUGAAAUAGGACGUUUGAUCCUAUUUUGUUGGUUUCUAGGAUUGACGUAAUGAUUAAUAGGGAUAGUUGGGGGCAUUAGUAUUCAAUUGUCAGAGGUGAAAUUCUUGGAUUUAUUGAAGACUAACUACUGCGAAAGCAUUUGCCAAGGAUGUUUUCAUUAAUCAAGAACGAAAGUUAGGGGAUCGAAGACGAUCAGAUACCGUCGUAGUCUUAACCAUAAACUAUGCCGACUAGGGAUCGGAUGAUGUUAAUUUUUUAAUGACUCAUUCGGCGCCUUACG
rnacentral:rRNA from 1 species